AUUGAACGCUGGCGGCAUGCCUUACACAUGCAAGUCGAACGGCAGCACGGGUGCUUGCACCUGGUGGCGAGUGGCGAACGGGUGAGUAAUACAUCGGAACGUACCUUAUCGUGGGGGAUAACGCAGCGAAAGCUGUGCUAAUACCGCAUACGCCCUGAGGGGGAAAGCGGGGGAUCGAAAGACCUCGCGCGAUUGGAGCGGCCGAUGCCUGAUUAGCUUGUUGGUGGGGUAAAAGCCCACCAAGGCGACGAUCAGUAGCUGGUCUGAGAGGACGAUCAGCCACACUGGGACUGAGACACGGCCCAGACUCCUACGGGAGGCAGCAGUGGGGAAUUUUGGACAAUGGGGGCAACCCUGAUCCAGCAAUGCCGCGUGAGUGAAGAAGGCCUUCGGGUUGUAAAGCUCUUUGUCAGGGAAGAAACACCGGCUCUAACGCAGUCCGGGGAUGACGGUACCUGAAGAAUAAGCACCGGCUAACUACGUGCCAGCAGCCGCCGUAA
rnacentral:rRNA from 1 species